UUUACACUUGCAUGGUGAGUCCCAGUGUGGGCAGGCUGUACCCACACCCUUGACCUCAGCCUCCAGAGUAGCUAGGAUUACAGGUGUGCGUCACCACACCUGGUUAAUUUUUUGUGUAUUUUUAGUAGACUCUGGGUUUCACCAUGUUGGCCACACUGGUCUCGAACUCCUAACCUCAAGGACUGGGGGAACUUGGAUGUUGGCAGAAGUGGGCUGGUUUAAGGUUCCCCACCUUCCUUGUUCCACCUCCAGCCUCUGGGGAUGUAGGUACCUGCCUGGGAGAGUGACAUCUCAGCUCGUGCCCCACGCCCCAGUGUGAUUUGUGGCUGGCCUGUCUGUGUGAUUCUGGGCUGUAGCCCCUUUAGAAACUCAGGUGUCCUGGUCACCUCCUACCCCCAGGGCUGACUAGCCUUCAGCUUGGCAGUCCCUGCCCCUGGGGCCCUGGUAACCAGAGCCAGGCUCCAGCCGGCUUUUCCGGUUAGAGGUUGGAGGUGGUGCCCAGAGUGCCCCUGG
rnacentral:lncRNA from 1 species